CCCUUAGAUGUCCUGGGCCGCACGCGUGCUACACUGAGUGGAUCAGCGGGUCAGGUUGCGCGAAAGUGUUUCCUAAUCUUGAAAUCCGCUCGUGAUGGGGAUUGACGGUUGCAAUUUUCCGUCAUGAACGAGGAAUACCUUGUAAGCGCGGGUCAUCAUCCCGCGCUGAAUACGUCCCUGCCCUUUGUACACACCGCCCGUCGCUCCUACCGAUUGAGUGGUCCGGUGAGGCUUUGGGAUCUGAGCAAAAAGAGCGUUUCGCUCGUUUGGCUCGGAAAACUCAGUCGAACCUUAUCAUUUAGAGGAAGGAGAAGUCGUAACA
rnacentral:rRNA from 1 species